CCCCUCCCAGGGCUGCAGGUGGAGAGUUUCCAGUACUCUACCGGUCUCGGCUACGGGAGGGAGAGUCAAGCAGAGGCACACCCAUUCCAUUCCUAGCUUGGCCAGUGGCUGGGAGUGGAAGACAAUCUGCUACAAGU
rnacentral:snoRNA from 1 species